UAUGUAUUACCUCUGUUCGGAAAUACUUGUCCUAAAAAUGGAUGUAUCUAGAUUUAUUUUAGUUAUAGAUACAUCCAUUUUCUCUAUUUUUAGCAAGUAUUUCCGGACGGAGGGAGUAUGUG
rfam:Triticum aestivum genome assembly, contig: Triticum_aestivum_CS42_TGACv1_scaffold_223254_3B